UUGUGCAGAGAUUAUGAGGAACAAAUUUACAUCUAAGUCAUCCUCUCAUGGAUCAUCUACUUCUUCCUCGGGUGUUCAAGCCGUGUCGAUUAAGAAGACAACAAAGAAGGUUUUGGUGGAGAAAGAACUGAGGUUUGCGCCGGAGUUUGACGGGCUUCAUUGCUUCGAAACCAUAGUUCCUUCUUGAUUAUUCCAAUACGGUUUUUCCCUUUUUAUUUAGUUUUUUGGUCUUGUGUUUGAUAGAUUUUGUCAUGAAAUACUUACGAAUGUGUUGCUAAAUGGUUGGAUUGGUUCACAAGUUUCU
rnacentral:lncRNA from 1 species